AUUAAAUGCUGGACAAGCAGAGAAAACUAGAAGGAUGAAAAAGGGAGAGAUGCAGGACCUGUCAAAGUACUGCUGCAGUAUAAGGUGGAAAGAGAAGCUGAGCAAAGCAGAAUAGCACAGGAGGAUGAGAUGCUGGAUAAAAGUGACAAGUCAUUUCAAAGUAACAUUAAGGACCCACUGUCACAGGCAGUGCUGUAUCCUGUGCACUUGAACUGAUCCUGUUGCAGAGAUGCCGGCUGACAGGUAUUACCGUAUUGGUUACAUUGACACAAGCGAAGCAGAUUACUAUCUUCUACCGGCGAGUACAC